rnacentral:lncRNA from 13 species
CCUAAGAUAGCUUACAGAACCAUAUUUUAAAUGGACAGCAAGGUGGAGAAGCUGGGGAAGGAAGUACAAAGGGGUCACUCAGAGAAAGAAGACCAAAGGCAGAUCUUGAGCAAAUGAGAAUAGUGCAUAGGAUGAGAGAGGCUGGGAUAAGGAGAAAGAGAACAGGAAAGCAGGAAAAUGGGAUGGAAUGGAGACUAUAGAAUGUGUGAAUGACAGGGACAGGCAUCAUUGCAUAUAGCAGGUGAUUACAGACUUGUUCUCUAUUGCAAGAAGGGCCAGUUUUAUUUAAAAGGCCAGAUAUUUAUUUGUCCAUAACAUAGUUAUUAAGCAUUAACUAUAGUCUCUUUUCUAGACACUUGGGAUAUGGGAAUAAAAAAAAAAGAAAAACUCUGUGUUAUUAUGUAGCUUAAAUUGGGUAGGAGGGUAAGGACAGAUCAUACAACAUCAUAAAAAAGUGAAAAUAUUAAAAGACAAUUACUAUGGAAAAAAUAAGUAAGAAAAAAAUAAUCAAGGGAAUCAAGAUUACAAGACUGUGUUAAAAUUUAAAGGGUGAUCAGGAUUGGCUUAUUAAGAAAGCAAUAUUUUAAGAGUAACAUGAAGAAGAGGACUCCAGGCAGAGGGAAGAACCAGUACAAAUGUGUUAGGCCUAAGACCUUAAGAGUUUAGAAGAUAAAACUGCAGACAAUAUCACAGAGUUCCCAUGCAUAGCACACAAAGUAUCUUAAACCCCCGUGUACCCCGAGAAGGUACAAAGUAAGCUGAGAGUGGGCAGGUGGACCAGAAGAAAGCUUGAGUUUGGAAACAAGAGACCACAGCAGGACACACAAAUCAGCCUGAGGCCUGGGCAAGGCUAGGGAUGCAAAUGCAGACAGGACAGACUUUGACUACUUGCGCAGAUGAAGGCAAAGACCAGCAGCCAGACCAGACCCUCCUUCACAGUGCCAGGAUGACAUUCCAGAUUCCUUUGAAGACCCCCAUUGACCCAGUCCUGGUGCCCUCCUCUGGACAAAUCAACCGUGCCACUGAAGUAGCAUCAAGCUUCCUGCUGUGA